UAAAAUGAAAAAAAAAAUUUGAAAAGAGAGUUAAACAGUACGUGAAAUUGCUGAAAGGGAAACGCUUGAAGUCAGUCGCGUUGUCCGGAACUCAGCCUUGCUUUUGCUUGGUGCACUUUCCGGAUGACGGGUCAGCAUCGAUUUUGACCGUCGGAAAAGGGCUGGAGUAAUGUGGCACCUCCGGGUGUGUUAUAGACUCUGGUCGCAUACGGCGGUUGGGAUCGAGGAACGCAGCGCGCCGCAAGGCAGGGGUUCGCCCACUUUCGCGCUUAGGAUGCUGGCAUAAUGGCUUUAAACGACCCGUCUUGAAACACGGACCAAGGAGUCUAACAUACCUGCGAGUGUUUGGGUGGAAAACCCGAGCGCGUAAUGAAAGUGAAAGUUGAGAUCCCUGUCGUGGGGAGCAUCGACGCCCGGACCAGACGUUCUCUGACGGAUCCGCGGUAGAGCAUGUAUGUUGGGACCCGAAAGAUGGUGAACUAUGCCUGAAUAGGGUGAAGCCAGAGGAAACUCUGGUGGAGGCUCGUAGCGAUUCUGACGUGCAAAUCGAUCGUCAAAUUUGGGUAUAGGGGCGAAAGACUAAUCGAACCAUCAGGCUGGUGGCAAAA
rnacentral:rRNA from 1 species